rnacentral:rRNA from 1 species
AUGAAAAAGUAUGCAGAUAAAAAGAGACCUGACAUGAACUAUGAAGUGAGACAUAUGAUUUACUUAAAAAUUGCAACCAUGACAGCUUUUGACAUCUGUAUAGGACUCAAACUGGCUACUAAAUUCUAUGGACCAUUUCUAGUUCCGAAGAAAAUUGGUGCAGGAGCAUAUAAACUGCAGCUUCUGGACGUGGCACAAAUACAUGGCGUUUUUUCACAUCACUCAAUUCAAGAAGCACUUGAGCCCAUUAGCUGUUCCUGCUCCAGGUUUGCCGCUAGUGGAUCCUCAUGGCAAAGCAAGGUCGCUCCUGUCCUGGCACUUGAAACUCGAGCAGUACCUCUCCUGGUAACUGGUAACGCAGUGGCUGGUACAAUGGUUAAACAUGUCACCAGAAGAAGCAACAUGAGAAGAUGCCAACUUCAUCAAGUUCACAAGUGUUUUCAGAAUUCUUCAAUCAAGGCAAUCCGAUUCUGGUUCCCUCAAAAUAAUCCUGGUGGGCAAGGAUCGUCUUCAGGAACGUGCAAUUAUCAGGACCUCAACUAUCUGAACCUGAAAAUUUCUGAAGAAUUCAUAGCGACCGACACUGGCGAAACACGAGAUCCAUUUUGUGAACCUGAACCUGAACCUGAACAGUUCUCAAGAAUUUUGUUAGUCCUGUCAGCCGGCCUCACGCCGGAGCUCCCUAGUGCCGUCGGCGGGGUCCUCUGUGCAGCCGAGGAACUUGAUCGCCACGGUCUUGCCGGUGGUGCGGUGGCGUGCCUUGACGACGAUGCCGGAGCUAGCCGCCCUUGCCGAUGCCGCGCGUCUCCUCGUAGUCCUCGGUGCCGCUGA